AGAGUUUGAUCCUGGCUCAGGAUGAACGCUAGCGACAGGCCUAACACAUGCAAGUCGAGGGGCAACAUGGUAUCAGCUUGCUGAUACCGAUGGCGACCGGCGCACGGGUGAGUAACGCGUAUGUAAUCUACCUGUAACAGAGGGAUAACCCGGAGAAAUCCGGACUAAUACCUCAUAGCACAUAUUAUUCGCAUGAAUUUUAUGUUAAAGAGACUCGGUUACAGAUGAACAUGCGUUCCAUUAGCUAGUUGGCGGGGUCACGGCCCACCAAGGCAACGAUGGAUAGGGGUUCUGAGAGGAAGGUCCCCCACACUGGUACUGAGACACGGACCAGACUCCUACGGGAGGCAGCAGUGAGGAAUAUUGGUCAAUGGACGCAAGUCUGAACCAGCCAUGCCGCGUGCAGGAAGACGGCUCUAUGAGUUGUAAACUGCUUUUGUACGAGGGUAAACGCAGAUACGUGUAUCUGUCUGAAAGUAUCGUACGAAUAAGGAUCGGCUAACUCCGUGCCAGCAGCCGCGGUAAUACGGAGGAUUCAAGCGUUAUCCGGAUUUAUUGGGUUUAAAGGGUGCGUAGGCGGUUUGAUAAGUUAGAGGUGAAAUUUCGGGGCUCAACCCUGAACGUGCCUCUAAUACUGUUGAGCUAGAGAGUAGUUGCGGUAGGCGGAAUGUAUGGUGUAGCGGUGAAAUGCUUAGAGAUCAUACAGAACACCGAUUGCGAAGGCAGCUUACCAAACUAUAUCUGACGUUGAGGCACGAAAGCGUGGGGAGCAAACAGGAUUAGAUACCCUGGUAGUCCACGCAGUAAACGAUGAUAACUCGUUGUCGGCGAUACACAGUCGGUGACUAAGCGAAAGCGAUAAGUUAUCCACCUGGGGAGUACGUUCGCAAGAAUGAAACUCAAAGGAAUUGACGGGGGCCCGCACAAGCGGAGGAACAUGUG
rnacentral:rRNA from 1 species